UGACUAGAAAGAGCACUCACAUC
rnacentral:miRNA from 1 species